GGAAUGUGGCUUAGUGGUAGAGUGCUUGCCUAGUAUGCAUGAAGCCCUGGGUUCAAUUCCUCAGUACCA
rnacentral:tRNA from 1 species